CCCUCCCCUCCCCCCUCCCACCGCUUCCCUCGGGGAGAGGCGGGGAGGGAGCGCGGAGAGAAGGAAGCAACCUGCCGCUUCCGCUGACCCCGCCUCCUUAUCCACUCCCUUCCCCUCCUCCCCCCGGAGUUUACUCAGGCAAGCCAUUCUGCUCCCGCCGUCCGCGAAAACCCUGAGCGGGAGCGAGAAACCCCGAGGCCAGCCAGGAACCCGCGUGCUGGAGGAGCGGACUAGCAACGCCUCCCCUUCUGCCUUCGCGUGGGGCUCUGGAAGCCCGCAGACUUCAUUUCCCAGCCUCCAUUGCGCGAGGGUCCCGAAGCGGAGCUCCCAGGCGCGAUGCUGUGCACUCUGGGCUUUGUAGUCCAUUCGCGUCGAAGCGCUCUCUGAUCGGGUUCGCACUCCCCAGCUGGCAGCCUGGCCCUGGGCUUGAAAAGCUCGGCUUGUGGUGGGGUCAGCCUCUUACUCCUUCCACCCAAAUGCCUUGCCCCGGCCUAUGUUUGGCUUCCUCAGGUUCUGCCUGGGGAGUUCGGUGGGAAACCUCAAAGCGUUGGCUGUGUCUUGAGCGGCCAAGCUGCUCUAGUGGGAAGAUAGAAGAAUUGUUCCAUGUCCAUUCAAGUCUCAUCAGCCACCAUGACAAGAUGGAGAUGACAGAAAAAUCAUGUCCUGGCUCUCAGAAGCUUCUGACCAAAGUAACAUUUCAACAAAAGCAUGUGAUCAUGCUAACUUCAAAGGAAUGACACAUUAAACAACUUUGAGAGCCUAACAAACCACGCCAAAACUUCACAGCUUAAAAUAUCAACUAUGGGACUAUGAGCUGGCUCAGUAGGUCAGAUGGGCUGUUGUGCUGAUCUGGCAAGGCUCUGCAAAUCUUGUCUGGGAUUUUUCUGCCACUGCUGGAGCUUAUUUAUGUAGAGCUAACAUGUGAAGCAUAAGAGGCUAACCUGAAUAUACAAUAAGAACAGGCUUAAUAUCUACUUCACUUCUGUCACACAUCUCCAUGUGGCUUAUCAAAAAUUUAUUCCUUCUCCUUUGAAGGAAGCUGGAGACCUUUUGAGGAAAAGCUCAACAGUUUUGCAGAAAAGACAAAUGCUGACAUUUGACUGUUCUCUGAUGGAGAACUGGCCUUGGUUUGAUCCCACUUCAGUAAAGCCAAACAACAAGCAGAUGUCAAAACUUCCUCACUUACGUAGAGCUUGCCCUACACAUUGAAGGACUUUAGUCAUACACAUGCUCUGCCGUUUGUAGAAAAUAUCCAACUUGAAAGACACGAAGAGAACAAAACAACAGAUAAAAAGAAUUUGGAGAAGAGUAGAGACAUUACAGUGAACAGAAGAGAAGUUCUAAUUAUGACUAAUAUCAUCAAAGAGAAAAGACACUGUAUCAUUGAAACAAGAAUUGCUUUGAAUGGAGAUGCUAUAGCAACAGUGAACAAUGAGAAAACAAAAAAAAAUGGAAAUUAAAAAAUAUGCCAGGUAAAAUUUAAAAUUCAAAAGGAGCAUGGAGAGAUAAAGAUGAGGAAAUUUCUUUGAAGUAGCAUUUUUUAAAGAAAGAUAUGGGAUGAGAUCACAGGAGAUUAGAACAUUUCAAGAUCAGUAUAGAGGGUGCACCAUCUGAUGGCCAUUAAUUUUAGAAAGGCCACAUACAAACUGAGGGAAGGGCAUUAUCAAGGAAAUAGUGAAAGAAUUGUUUACAGAGCUGAGAGAAAUGUACCUCUGGAUUAAAUAGUUUCAUUCUAAGACACAUGAUAAUAAAAAUGUUAUAUCCUAUAAAUAAUGAAAAGAUUCUUGAAACUUCACAAAAGGAACAGGCUUCUUAACAAGCGAUAAUGGAGCAAUUUCUUUGAAAUUAUGUCAGAAAAUGAUCACCAAUUUAGAAUUCUAAGAUGUGUCUUAUCAAUAGUCAACUGUGUGGAUUGCUUCUCAGGACUGCAAAGUCACGUAACAUUCCCCUUUCAGAAUACUGCUACAAGACAGGCUUCUUUAUAACAAAGAGGAGGAGCCUAGAUGGUGAUACCAUGCUUAGAAUUUUCAACAGUGGGUGGCUGAAGUGGAAAAAUCAUAAGUUCAAUAUCAUCCUGGGCUACAGAUUAAGACUGUCUCCAAAAACAAAGCAGAGAGGACAGGUGAUCCAGGAAAUAUGAAUCUAAUUUAGGAGAAAGGCUCAAAUAAUCCCAAAGUUGAGAAAGGACAGAGACGAGUGCCAGACCCAGAAAGCAACAAUUCCACAUGCAGGUAGGAUGGUAGAGGGGAACCCAAGAAAGAAUUUCCUAAGACAAAAUUUAACAGAAAUGGUAUACCCUGGGAUAGUUGAAAAUUGGAAGACUACUGGGAAGAUCAAGAAUAAUAAUUAGCAAUAAUAGCAAUAAAUCCAUGGGUAAUCUAGAAAAUAAAAAGAGUCUCAGUGCUUUUUUGUAGGGAGCCGCCAUUCUAAGAUGGCGCUGG